AGAAUCCUUGGAAAACUUGGAAGCCAAUGGAAAUUGUGCCCAGAAUUACACUCCUCUAGUGACUAGUCCCUAUGCACACGGAAAUGUCCUAGGGAUACAAAAAUUGUUCUAACACAACUUUAUUUGAAUAAGAAAUAUCCAUUGGUAGUUUGCAGCACAUUUAAGUGUGAUUUAAACAAGUCAUUAGUAUAUUUUGCUAAUCAUACAAGACUUGAUAUCUCGUUCUCUGUAGAUUUAGUUUGUUGGUCCGGAAGUAUCACAUCAAUGUACAUGUAUAUGUAUUUUAGUGUAUCUAUAUGUAUAUCAAUGUAUGUGUGUGAGUAUUUGUUGGUGUAUCAAUGUACAUGUAAUAUACUAAUAUGUCUACCAAUGGAUCCUACAAACAUGUUUAACUUUAACAUCACCCGUAAUAUUGUUCUUAUGAGACAUGACAAACACACAUUUCAUAAAGGAACAACAUAACAUGUCAAGUGUACUAACCUUUAGAAGAUGUUGCAAUCAGCAUAAUUAAUGCUUGAAACUUGAUACAACCACUGAGACAUCCAAUAUGAUCAACAAGUCACCUGAAACACCACAAAAGCAAUCAACAAAAAUGCUUAAUACCACCAAACUCAACAACAACAAUCACCAGCAACCACAUAUAUGAUAAACAGUAAUUAUGAUAAACAAACAAGCUUACUCAUUAUUAUCAGAUAGUCAAUUCAUUCUGCUACAUAUAUGAUCUCUACUUUUGGUAUAUGUUCAAAACAAAACCAAAGAAGAAAUGCACAAAAAUUAUCACUACAAAAGAAAACUUGAAGAAACAAGGUUAGGGACACUAGAAAACAUAUGAUGUAAAUAAUGAUCGAGAGCAUGUACAUUGCACCCUUGAAUAUAGCAAUCAAGAAUCAUCACUGCACAAGUUAACUGCAAGAAGCAAUAUGGUACAAAUAUCUGACUUAGAAAGAAUAGUGCCUACUGAAAAAGGUAUACAGAACUCAAACUUUAUCUCAUACAUUUUCAUAAGAAUAUAGCUUAUCAGUGUUAAUUAUGAAGUAUACUUAGUUUAACUUGUUAAUACUAUAAUUUAACAGUUCUUAUUAUGGUUAAUAUUGAAAGAGAAAAAAUGAAAACAAAUAUAUUCCACUUUUAUUGUUAUUCCAUGGAAAACAAAACUAGUAUCAAGAAUUCAGGAAUGAAUAUCAGUCUAACAAACAGUGGCAUGAAGUAACUAUAUUCAGGUUAACUUAAUUUAAUUAAUAUUAUCAAUUCUUAUAUAUGAUAAGUUCAAAUGUUAAUUAACAUAUUCCAUAACUGAUAUUUUGUAAUUUUUACAUAUGUACUAUCAUAGAAACAUCACAGAUUUAAUCUAAUGAAAGAGAAAGAGUGUAAAACAAAAAACGAUGUCUUUAUCAAUGCCAUAAAUCAUGAAGAUUUUAUUUUCAUUUCCUAAAAUAUAACUUCUCAAAGAACUUCUGCUUAACCCUCAACUUUCAUUUUACCCUCAGUCGGUCCUCUAAGUUGCACUUCUUCAUGAAAUUAAAUACAGUAUGAUUUUGAGGGACAAUUCCAACCCAUUUAUAGGUAAAUGGACGGUCAUUAAAUGUUUAUUAAAAUUUAAAAGAUUAAUAUUUUACCUUUUUAAAUUAUUUUAUAACAGCUUUCCUGAAAUUUUUACUUUUUACUAGCUAAAAUAGGAUAUCCAUAUAUAAAGAUUUCUCUUUAUAAAACCCAUUAUUCAACCGAUGAAAAAAAAACAAAAUACAAACAUUGAUUUUUCCUUCUAUUAAGUCGAUGAAAUAACAAUUCAAUGGAAAAAACAAUAUCACAAAUAUGCUUUAAGAUAAAUUUUCAUGAUUAUCAAUAAUAUCAAUAUAAAAGAAGCUUUGAAAUGGUGAAUCUAUAUUUGUUCAACUAAUUGUUAGAUACGUAUAAAAAAAAUUGAACUGGGCAUGUAACCUUUACACAUUAUUUGGUACUCUCUCUUUAUUAGAACUAAUGCUGAUUUUUAUUAAAUGACAAUGUUGUUAUUUACCAAAUUUCAUUUCAUUUAAACGUCUAUAAAUACAAACUAAAAAACAUGUUGGAAUAGUUCAUUUCGAUCCUAUAGACCAAAGAAACAUGAUAGUGAAAUGAUAAUUAUCUAUCUUAUUGCCAUGUUCUUUAGAUUUCUACGUUCAUUCAAUUAUUUGUGAUUCCACCCAAGCCUAAUGCCCCAUAGAUCGUUCGAACUGUAUAUGAACAACAAUCAAGUUUAGCUCAAAUGGUAAAAAGCACCUACCUGAGUUCCCUUUGUUGAAAAAUAGGAGAUAAAAAAUACCAACGAAAAACUAUAAGUUUUCAUUCAAUGACUUUAAAGUCAACAAAAAACUAUAAACUUGAUUUUGACAUAUAAAAGUUUUACAAAACUAACUUGAAGUUUUUGAUUAUUCAACUUUAACAGAUUAUGAGGAGNGAUUAUGAGGGACAGAAUCUCAUGUGGUAGAAGCAACUACUUUUUAUUAGGUUAUCAGUCUCACAAUAUAAGAAAUAUUGACUUGCAUAUGAUGGAUCUUGCUACUGCCUAUUUGUAGUUUUGUACUCCUCCCAUGAUACCAAUCUUUUAUAUAAACCUUUACCUCCCUCAAAAGAUUUAAACCACCAUAAACAAGUAAGAUGGGAUCUCAAGAACACUAUUUGAUCAAAUUAAACAAGUCAUUACAUAUUUUGUUGCUAAUCAUACAAGACUUGACUUUGGUUAAGACCCCUUUCAACCUUUUAAAGAUUCCAAGGAAAUUGGUGGUCCAAAGCACAUUUAAGUGUCAUUUAAACAAGUCAUUAAUAUAUCUUGCUAAUAAUACAAGAUUUGAUAUAUCGUUCUCUGUAGAUUUUAGUGUAUCUAAUGUAUGAGACAUGACAAUUGACAAACACACAUUUCAUAAAGGAACAACAUAACAUGUCAAGUGUACUAACCUUUAGAAGAUGCUGCAAUCAGCAUAAAUGAUUGAUACUUGAUAACAACCACUAAGACAUCCAAUAUGUCACCUGAAACACCACAAAAGCAAUCAACAAAAAUGCUUAAUACCACCAAACUCAACAACAACAAUUACCAGCAACCGCAUAUAUGAUACCAUUGCAUUCUAUUUGGGAGAGAAUAAAUAGUUCGCUUUCUUGGUAAUUAUGAUAAACAAACAAGUUUACUCAUUAUAAUUAUCAGAUAAUAAAUUCAUUCUACUUACUGUAUAUAAGCUAUGUUCAAAACAAAACGAAUGAAGAAAUGCACAAAAUUCAUCACUAUGCAAAAUUUAACUGGAGGCACAAGUUUAGAGACACUAGAAAGCAUGUCAUCAUGUACAUAAUGAUCGAGAACAUGUGCAACCAUGAACAUAGCAAUCAAGAAUCAUCACUACACAAGUUAACUGGAAGAAGCAUAAUGGUACAAAUAUCUAACAUAGAAAGGAAAGUACCUACAGAAAAAGGUAUACAGAACUCAAACUUUAUCUCAUACAUUUUCAUAAGAAUAUAGCUUGUUAAUGCACAAACUCACCAACUUUCCUAGAAACUAUUAUGUCUUUUCUUGUUUACAUAAAUCCUCCCAGAUACCAUUGAUAUACAAUGCUUAACAUAGAAAUUAAUAAGAUGAAUCAUUGAGAUCAAAUAUAUUCAUGUUAACCUUUGGAAGAAUGAAUACCAGUUACGGAUGUGAUAUUGCUAACCCAAACAAAGAUAUACACACUGAUGAGCAGAUAAUUACAUGUUAUGUGCUGAUAAAUAGUAUGUAUAUCAUUAUUAAGUAACCUUAACUUAACCAAAACAUUAAUAAAUACAAAUUACAAUCUCAAUAUGUAUCAUCUAUUACUAUUUCUUGAAUUUUUACCCCAUUCUAAUGGGAUUCCAGGGAUCUGUUUAUAUUGCUGUUUUGUAGUGUCAGUGUAUUUGUUUAAAUUUUUAUUUUCUUCUAUUUUUUUUUUUAAAGUUACUGUAAUGAUUAUGAAAGUUCAAGUUUCCACAUAUCUUUGCUUUAUAAAUGUGUUCUUCAACUACCACAUCUCUUCAAAGUUAUAACCAAAUUUGACAGUUACAAAUGUUCUUUAUCUGAAAAAUAUUACAUCUGACUAGGAAUAAAAAAUUUCUAUGUGGAAGAAGGUAUGCAAGACCUUAACUUCUGUAAGUAUUAAUCUAUUAACUUAAAUAUUUACACUUUAGUAUUUGGGAAUUUAUUUUAUUGCUUAUUUAUUUUUUAAGAAUAUACGUACUUGAAGUAAAAAGUAACUGUGGCCAAAAAGGUUUUCUUCUAUGUUAACAGCACCGGUUAUUUGCAUGUUUAUUGUAGCAUUUGAGUAUCUAUUCGUUUAUCCCUAAAAACCAAAUAAAUUCAUCCCAAUUUUAAACUUGAUUGUUCAUUAUUCAAACUCAGAGCAGCACAACCAAUGCAGAAGAACCAAUUCUAUAAUUAAUGUUUUUUUUUUCAGUGUGCAAGAGCAAAAAUCUCAUGUACUUGUAUUGCUGCAGCAACUAAUACUCAAGAAUUAAUGUGUUUUGAUCAAAAUAAGUGAUUGGUUUGAAAUAAUACGAGUGUAAGCACCAAAGGGUCUACUGACAAGCAGGGGAGAUAAUUUAGUUUAAAGCAUUUGCUACAUUUGCUACAGAUUAUCGUUUGACAUCAGGUAUGUUAAUACAUCUGGAUCAUUUGAAACAUAUAAAUAUAUAAAUGCAUCAUUUUCAAUGACGCUAAAUUACAAUCUUCUUUGUCUUUGUGCUACCGGUCUCAAUAUGUGAGAAUUAGGUCAAAUAGAAAAAAGAUUGGAAAAACUUACCAGGUAAAUGUCGAUAACGACUGAGGAAUGAAGGAGAGAGAGAUGAAUUAGAAAUCGAUGGCUUAGCAUUGUCCUUUUCCUCAACUCCUCGCUGGUGGUGGCGGAGGAUAGCGCCUGAGAACGCAAUCGAGGUGCGAGGAAUAUACAAAAUUUGGGGAAAUUGUGUGUGGACAUGUGGGUACUGGAGUGAAAAAUAGAACGCUUCAAAUACUUUUUUUUUUGUUUUUUUUUUUUUUUUU
rnacentral:lncRNA from 1 species